UGAGUAACACGUAUCCAACCUGCCGUCUACUCUUGGACAGCCUUCUGAAAGGAAGAUUAAUACAAGAUGGCAUCAUGAGUCCGCAUGUUCACAUGAUUAAAGGUAUUCCGGUAGACGAUGGGGAUGCGUUCCAUCAGUUUGUUGGCGGGGUAACGGCCCACCAAGACUACGAUGGAUAGGGGUUCUGAGAGGAAGGUCCCCCACAUUGGAACUGAGACACGGUCCAA
rnacentral:rRNA from 1 species